rnacentral:lncRNA from 1 species
CUACCCCCGCAUCUCCGUCAACAACGUGCUGCCCGUCUUCGACAACCUGAUGCAGCAGAAGCUGGUGGACCAGAACAUCUUCUCCUUCUACCUGAGCAGGUGGGCGUGUGGGUUCCCUCUCGCUCCGCGUUGCUGGGAGGCAGGGCGGGGCUGGACGGGGAGCCUUCUAGGCACCCCCUCUCAGUGCUGCCCCCUCCCUGCUGCUGUGCCAGAGCUCCUGACCUCUGACCUCAGGGCAUCCGGGAGGCGGGGGUUGGCCGCCCUUCUGCAGAGGAGUAAGCGGCAGCACAGAGAAAGCUGUUUGGCCGGGGUCUCCCAGUGGGAGGGGCUCGGGCCAGGCUGUGGGUCCUGGGACCUUGGCAGCUGGGCCUCCCUCCUAUGAGAAUGGACCCAGGUCAGGGGUCGUGGCAGUUCCUCUUGGUUCAGUCGGCCCGUCGGUCCCCAGACCUGGUGAUGGGCACAUGUGGUCCUGGUCCCGGGGUUGCUGAUGGUGGAGAGGGUCAUGGUGCCCAGGGGACCGGGGAUCCCCGGGGAGGGGAAAGGGAAGGAGCAGGAUGCCCACCUGGCUGUGGCUGUCUUACCCCAUGGAAUCCAGGCUCCAACUGACCUCACCAUUCUGUGGGUUAAUUUUCAUUCUUAAAACCUUCAUCUAAAGACCUUUGCUUCCUGGAAUACAGGCCUGGGUUUUCCCAACAGUCGUGGGCACCCGGCCUGGCACGUGCUGCUCAGUGGAGGGACCUCACAGCCCGUUCUAUGUGAGCCGUGCAGGAAAAGCUCCACGGACAAACUCACUCUCCGUGACAAUCAGGAGGUUUCUUCUCCAACCACCAGAAGGAGCUGGGGGAGCUCAUGAGGCCAGGAAGAGAACAGUCCUAAUCCCAUCCUUCCCCUCCUCAGCAGUGACCCCAGGGUCUGCUGUCCUGCCCCAACCCGCACUUCAAAGAAGGAAGGACACCUGCCUUCCCCUGCUACCUCACACCCCGAAGCAUGGGGAGCAUGGGGACCCUCGGCAGAGUCCUUUUGUAGUGAAGAAUAACAGACUAGUGUAAAAUAGCAGAAAAGAAGCUAAUGGCCAAACACAUCCAAGCUGGGGAAAACACCUGUUAAAUAUAAUGACAGAAUAUGCUCUCAUCAAAACCCAGGAAACUUUAAGAAUACACUAAACCUCACAAAAUGGGGGCGAAAUACAAUGAUGACCACACGUAUGAGAAAUGGUCAAUGGUAGAAUUGAAAGAAAUGCAAGGGAAAUAAAAGCCACAGCCCACGAAUGCAGGUGCAGCCACAGAAGCGCUGGCAGAGGGGAGGCUGAGAGUGGCGCUGGUUGAAGAUUUCUCACAGGAAACAAAAGGCACAGCCUCCACGUGGCUCAUGGCCAUGAAAACCCUUGACUCAAACCAUUCCACGUCGUGAGGAAGACGCGGGUCAGCUGCCCUAGUUGGGUGAUGAUGAUGCUGUCAGGGAAAGCGUCGGUGCCUAUGUGGGGAGAGUAGGGGAGUGAGAAACAAAAGCAAAGCGUGGUGGCUCUGUGGCUCCGGUGCCCCGGAGGCCAUGGCUCACUUUUUCACAAUGAACAUGGGCUAUUUUCAUUUUUUAAAGUCUGCUAAUGUUUCUAAGGAGACCAUACAGAACCGAAAAUUCUGAAUAACCUUGUCUUCCAUAAGGCAGACUUUUCAUUUCUGUCAUCUUUCCGGAAGGGCUGGACACAGAGACUGUGGGUCUGUGAUGGAGGUGCCACCAUCUCACCCCGAGUCCACGGCCCUCAGUCUCUGUGCUCCCCGAGCCGAAGGUGAGGAAUCCAUGCCUUAUGGUUGGCGAGGGCUGCUGGGGCACCUGCCAUCUCAUCUGCAUCCUGGGAAGCAGGAAGGAGCACAGAGGAAAACACAAGCCUGCUCUGGCCAGCUCAGUGUGCUCCUUCCAGAAACAGCAGAAGCCAGGGCCAUGCCAUUGAACUUCUCAGCCAGCAGAACUGUGAGCUUGAUGAAUUACCCCAUCACAGAGGUUCUUUUAUGGCUACACAGAAUGGACUCAGACACCCAUGCUCACAGCCGUGCAGUCACAAUAGCCCAAAGGUGGAAACAACCCAGCAGAACACACUAGAGGGUCCCGGCAUCCUGAUGAGUCCACUGUCCCCGCGAUGGUUUUCAGGGAUGGAGAAGGCUCCCUGUCCUCCGCUGGAACCCUGCAGCCGGGCUGACGGUACCCCCACCACCCACCCAGGGGCCCCCAGACCCUCCCCAUCUCCACCGCCAACCCAGGCCCCGGCUGCGCACGCGGGGCCAGGCCGUGAGCUGCUGUCCCCGGAUGGGGCCGCCCCGGGCUGGCCUGGCUCACUCCGUGUCACAGAUAUUCCCACAGAGACCCCAGCGAGACCUGCAGAACAUUACAGCAGAAUGAAGGAGAGCCAGAGGAAGAGGCAGAUGUGCUGGCCUGUAAACAGUCUGAUUUCCAAUGUAAACCAGAUUCAGGCCCACGACAUCAGGGCUGGUCAUUUGAGGAGCUGCCAGAUUAAGACCUUUGUUGUCCCAGGACAAGCUCCGUUGCAGAGGCCGCAGAGGCCACCAAGAAGAGGGCUCCGUGCGGAGAGUGCAUCCUGAUCCCCGGGACCAGGCCAGGUGCGAGGCGUGCCCUGGCUGAAACUCAGUGCCUUGGUAUUUUUGGAACCUACUUGGGGAAGAAAAAUCUGGAAACCCUGUCCUCCCAGUACUGAGCGUUUUCUGUCUCGGAAGAGGUGGUAGUUGCAGUUCACUUCGGAGCCGCCUGCUGUUUUCACUUUGGGGGACUCUGGAGUUUUAGUUGCACAAACAAGGAAUUGCCUGCAUGUUCCCUGGAUGCAAAUGUCUCAGGAGGGGAAUGUGUGUGUGUGUGUGUGUGUCCUGUCGUACGUGGGUGCUCCCCCCUGCCCUCCUCUCAAUCCUCAUCAGUGCCUGACGAGCUCUGGGCAGCACACCGAGGGAUCCAGGCUGGUGCCUUGGGGCUGAGACUCAGGAAGAUCAUGUCUCCUCCCUCCCACUGAGGUCUUUGCCCAGGACCUCACUUCCUAGACGAGGAGCAGCCUCUUUCCAGGACAACCCAGAGUGGAAAGGUCCUCCUUGGGACAAUUACUCCAGAACUCAGGCGGUGGGUUUCACUCUGUCCAGGUGGCAGCUGCCUGUCCAGCUGAUGAACACCCCACAGCGUGCAGAGGCCGUGCUAUCCCGUGGCUGCUCUGCACACAUGAUUUCAGAAAAUCCAUAAAAUUGAUUAAUCUUUCCCCUGUCUAAU